rnacentral:rRNA from 1 species
AUUGAACGCUGGCGGCAUGCCUUACACAUGCAAGUCGAACGGCAGCACGGGAGCUUGCUCCUGGUGGCGAGUGGCGAACGGGUGAGUAAUACAUCGAAACGUACCCUGAAGUGGGGGAUAACGUAGCGAAAGUUACGCUAAUACCGCAUAUUCUGUGAGCAGGAAAGAGGGGGAUCGCAAGACCUCUUGCUUUAGGAGCGGCCGAUGUCGGAUUAGCUAGUUGGUGAGGUAAAGGCUCACCAAGGCGACGAUCCGUAGCGGGUCUGAGAGGACGACCAGCCACACUGGAACUGAGACACGGUCCAGACUCCUACGGGAGGCAGCAGUGGGGAAUUUUGGACAAUGGGGGGCAACCCUGAUCCAGCCAUUCCGCGUGAGUGAAGAAGGCCUCGGUUGUAAGAC